rnacentral:rRNA from 1 species
GUGGAAGUGCAGUAAUGUAUGUAGCCGAGCCGUGCUAACAGACCGAGGGCUUGACCUC